rnacentral:lncRNA from 1 species
UCUGUAGCGGUUUCCUUCCGAGCAGGUGGUGACUGCUCCUUGGAGAGCAAGGAGGAGGCCUGGGCCGCCCGGCUGCGGUCGGGCGCGCACCACCCGAAGGUGAGGCAUUUGGCCCCCAGACGGUCCUUCGGAGAGCCCAGCUGAGCGAGAAGUUAUCUUACAGCUCUGCCCGCUGCACCUGCUGGAGGGAGCGAGCGCCCCACCCUUUCCGCGGUGUGGAGCGAGACUCAGCGCCAGAUAACGCGUGGUCGGGCCGAGCAAAUGUUUGAUGAAUGAAAGAAUGCCUCACUCGUGGAGUGCAGAGGAGUCCGACGGAAGUGCAAGCGCCUUGCCGACUGCGUAGCGUUGUCAAGAUGAGCGUUGUCAGGCGUCCCUCUUCCCUCAGUCCCCCCGCCUCCGGAGGAAGUGGGGGUGCGGCUUGAGUGAGGAGUCACAGGCUGAGCCUAGCGAAACAGGAGGCGAAUUGCCGGGACGAGGGAGGGGAGCCAUCCUCCCGGAACUGUGGAAGGGUUUUUUUACUUUUUCAAGAGGGCGAAUUUAGUAGCGACUCCCUUUUAGGACUCAGUCUUGCUUGUGGCUUGGUGCCUGGGAGAGCUGGUGUUGGCUGUUAAUCACUGUCCAUUACCGUCGUCAAGAAACGUUGGCCUGUGUGUCAGAUAAACAUGAUUACUCUUUAUGCAGCUUUUCCUAGAAAUGUUAUCCUGGAAAGUAAAUUCACGUAAAAACUCAUCAGGUUGAACGUAGUUCUCUAGGCAAAGAAAUUUUAAAAUAAAAGGACCAGAUCCUCAGAAAUCUGUCUUGAACCUGGCCUGGUGCAUAGUGUGAGAAUGAGAUAAAAGCAGUAAGGAUGAAAGGAAGCAGAUUCCACAGUACUGUCUCUGGACCCUGGACACCGUACCUCCUCUGGAAGCGUCAGUGUUUUUUGUUUAGAGUCAGUGAUAUUUUAAGACUGGAGGAAGAUGAGACCCAGAGAAAUUAAAUGACUUACCCAGGGUCAGAAGAGCAAGUGAAAAGGAAGCCUGGACGCAGCCCCAAGUCUUCAAAUAGAGCACGCUUGCUUCAUAGCACACUGACCCUCAGUCUUCUGGAGAAGUGAGUUGGGGCUCAAAUUUUAAUCUACCUUUGGAUUCCUUAAUUUGGAAACUGGAGUGGAUUCAAAACGAGACUCCAGGAAUUGAGGUAGGUACAGGUUGGAGAAAACCAGGACCGAGGCUGUGCCAGGGUGACACUGUCCUGGCUGAUCUGGCUCCGUAGACCAUGAGGCAGGAGGAAGGAGAGUGGAGUAUCUGACUGACCUAGAGGGAUGGCAAAGCGUGGGCUUCUGGGCUGGCAAACUAGCUAUUGAAACUAAGGGUCUGGGGUGGGCAGAAGUGGAAGCUUGGGGUCAGGGUAUCUGGAUGAGGGUCCAAGGAGUGGAUGAAAAAACAUGUCCAGCUCAAGGGGCCAGAAUGAUACCAGAGAGGUGUGAUUCCAUCCGUCAGUAUUGAGGGAAGUAUUUGGUAUGUGUUUUCAUGAUAUAUGUUAUAACGCCCCAACCUGGACUUCCCAUCAUGGCUCAGGGGUAACGAACUCAACUAGUAUCCGUGAGGACACAGGUUCAAUCCCUGGCCCUGCUCAAUGGGUUAAGGAUCUGGCGUUGCCAUGAUGGCUCAGAUCUGGCAUUGCUGUGCUUUGUGGUGUAGGCUGGCAGCUACAGCUCCGAUUCGACCCCUACCCUGGGAACUUCCAUAUGCUGCAGGUACAGCCCUUAAAAUAAUGAUAGUAAUAAUAAUGCCCCAACCUGACUUUUUUCUUCACUCUUAUAUGUCCCUGUGUUGCUUAUUUAAAAUUAUAGAAUUCAAAAAGGCACCAUCAGAGCAUGACUCUGGGUUCCAAGUCAGAAGACUCAUCCUCUGUCUUGUUUUGAAAUGUAGGUGAUGAGGGCUGAUAUAGCCCAGCAGGUGUGUUCUUGUCCAAGCCAAGAUGGGACUCUGCAGGGGCCACUGGCUGGGGCUGCAGCCCAGGCAGCAACAGUGGCCCCUGGAGAGUCCCUCAGUUCCUAAAGAAAUUCUUCCACGUGUGCAAUGGGGAAGGAUGCGGCCCUUUCCUUGGAUCCUUCAUCAUUUUAUAGACUCUCAUCUAAUUUUAAGUGUGUAAAGGGAAUGGCAGCUGGUUUCUGAAUUUGCAAGGAAAAGUGCUAAAAGCAAAUAAAGCAGUGGGGAAUUUGUCUUGAAGUUCAUGGACUCAACUAGGCAUUGAUGUGUGAUAGAGGGACUAAUAUUGGUUCUGGGAACCCUCUACUGGUAUGUUAGAGUGAUGGUUGGCCAUUUUUUAAAAAAAAUUCCAAGAAUAACUGAAGUUCCUGUCAUGGCUCAGUGGAAAUGAAUCUGACUGGCAUCCGUGAGGACUCAGGUUCGAUCCCGGCCUCACUCAGUGGAUUAAGGAUCUGGCUUUGCGGUGAUCUGUGGUGUAGGGCACAGACGCGGCUUGGAUCCCGUGUUGCUAUGACUUCAGCAUAGGCUGGCAGCUACAGCUCGCAUUCUACCCCCAGCCUGAGAACUUCCAUAUGCUGCGGGUGCGGCCCUAAAAAGACAAAAGAAAAAAAAA